AAAAACUCUUAACUUUUAUCAAACCUAAAUCUACCGUCAAGUCUCAUCUCCCUCACUCCUCAUAGAAGUAAAAACCCUAAAUCCCUUAAAUUUUCAUACUUCUCUCAAAGGCAUUUUCUUGGUUUGGAGAAAAUAUCAAGUUGAAAAAUUGCUACCCAUCUCACCACAAGAUAAAUUUGAGAGCGAUGACCUAGAUAUUCAUCGCAAUCAUAUUUUGGGAUGGAUGAAAGAAUUGUGGAACAAAUGGAUAGGACAAUUGCAUGCAAAGUACGUGAGGGAUAAAUCAAUCUAAGAGGCUCUUAACAAUAUACCAAAGGGGAUAUACAAGAAACAAUGGGAGUGGUUGGUAAAAGAAUAUUUUUGUACAGAAAGUUUUCAGGCAAAAAGCAACAAAAAUGCAGCAAACAGAGCUAAGUUGAAGGUGCCUCAUCAUAUCGGCAGCAAGCCUAUUAGAGAAAUUAUUUAUCAAAAGGGCGGAAAGAAUGGCAAUCCACCAGAUUUGGCAACUAUUUUUUUGAGACUCGCAAGAAGAACAACGAGCUUGUUGAUCUGAGACAAUUAUAAAACAUGCUCAAAUUCAAGAAUUGGUGCAGUCCGAACCAUCUCUUCCCAAUAUAGAGAUAAUGGAAAAAUGCUUUGGACCUCAAACUCGUAGUCAUGUAUUUGGUUUUGGGGGUGAAGUAAAAGCAAAAGACUUAAAAGAUGGCGGUUCCUCGAAGGCCGAAUUAAGAUUCGAGUUACGUUCUGCGCUAGAGCAAAACGAGUCAUUGAAGGAUCGGUUGUCCACUAUAGAAAAUGAGGUGAAAGAACUGAAGGAACUAAAAGAUUUUUUCUUUAGCCAACAGUCUAAUGUCCACCCUCCGGUGGCUCAACACGCUAAUGUCCAGCCUUCAGCAUCACCAUAUCAGGAGAAUGACCAUUGAUAAACAUACCAAGUUUUGGAGGCUAUCAAGAUGUGAGUUUUGAAGACAUACAAUCAGUAGACUUUUGCUUUGCUAGGAAUGUUGGACAAAAUAUCCUAUUAAUUUUAGGGAUC